rnacentral:lncRNA from 1 species
AUGGUAUUACGCUUCUGCAGCUGUUGCAGUCGUGCUUGCUUUCACCGGCAUUGUCUAUAUUCAAGAUCAUCUGGGGUGGAAAGUGGGUUUUGGAGUUCCAGCCCUUCUCAUGUUCCUUUCAGCUGCUCUUUUCUUGAUUGCAUCUUCUUUAUAUAUCAAACCAAAAGUCAAGACAAACUUGUUUAGUAGCUUCAUGCAAGUGAUUGCAGUUGUUUACAAGAACAGAAGAAUGACACUUCCUUCUCCAGAUUCUACUAUUACAUGGUAUACUCUUAAAGAUUCAGAACGACAUGUGCCCACUGAUAAACUAAGGUAUCAAAAGAUUUUUUUUAGUGAUCGACAUUGGUCAUUUAAGUAUCUACAUAAGCAACUUAUACUGAUACUGCUCUUAUAUUCAAUUAUUUGACAUGAUAAUGUAUUAAUCAGGUUCAUGAAUAAAGCUUGCAUCAUAAAAAAUCCGGAGGACAUAGGCCUGAAUGGUGUUGCUUUGAACCCGUGGAACCUUUGCACCGUAGAUCAAGUUGAAGAGCUAAAAACAUUGAUCAGAGUACUUCCAUUGUGGUCCACAGCAAUCAUGAUGGCAAUUAACAUGAGUCAAGGUUCAUUUGGAUUGCUUCAAGCCAAGUCCAUGGAUAGGCGCCUAAUUGGGAACUUUGAAAUUCCAGCCGGAUCAUUUAGCAUGUUUACAAUCGGUACUAUAGUCAUCUGGAUUCUACUCUAUGAUCGCGUAUUGUUACCUCUGGCAUCAAAGAUUAGAGGAAAACGAGUACAACUUGGUGUAAAAGAAAGAAUGGGAAUGGGUUUAUUUUGUUCAUUCAUGGCUAUGGUUGUCUCAGCCAUCGUGGAACAUAUAAGACGAACCAAAGCAAUCGAACAAGGUUUUAGAGAAAAUCCAAGCGGUGUGGUUAACAUGUCUGCAUAUUGGUUAGUACCCCAACAUGUUUUAAGUGGAUUAGGCGAGGCUUUUAACUCAAUAGCUCAAACAGAAUUUUACUAUUCAGAAUUCCCUAAGAGCAUGUCCAGCAUUGCAUCAGCCAUGUUCGGGCUAGGGAUGGCAUUUGCAAACUUGUUAGCUAGUGCUAUACUGAGUACCGUAGACAAUGUUUCAAGUAAAGGAGGAAAAGAGAGCUGGACUUCAAGUAAUAUCAACAAGGGACAUUUUGAGAGUUACUACUGGCUUCUUGCAAUCAUGAGUUCAGUAAACCUCUUCUACUAUCUUGUUUGCAGUUGGGCUUANGAGCGGUUCUUCGGAUGGUAUUACGCUUCUGCAGCUGUUGCAGUCGUGCUUGCUUUCACCGGCAUUGUCUAUAUUCAAGAUCAUCUGGGGUGGAAAGUGGGUUUUGGAGUUCCAGCCCUUCUCAUGUUCCUUUCAGCUGCUCUUUUCUUGAUUGCAUCUUCUUUAUAUAUCAAACCAAAAGUCAAGACAAACUUGUUUAGUAGCUUCAUGCAAGUGAUUGCAGUUGUUUACAAGAACAGAAGAAUGACACUUCCUUCUCCAGAUUCUACUAUUACAUGGUAUACUCUUAAAGAUUCAGAACGACAUGUGCCCACUGAUAAACUAAGGUAUCAAAAGAUUUUUUUUAGUGAUCGACAUUGGUCAUUUAAGUAUCUACAUAAGCAACUUAUACUGAUACUGCUCUUAUAUUCAAUUAUUUGACAUGAUAAUGUAUUAAUCAGGUUCAUGAAUAAAGCUUGCAUCAUAAAAAAUCCGGAGGACAUAGGCCUGAAUGGUGUUGCUUUGAACCCGUGGAACCUUUGCACCGUAGAUCAAGUUGAAGAGCUAAAAACAUUGAUCAGAGUACUUCCAUUGUGGUCCACAGCAAUCAUGAUGGCAAUUAACAUGAGUCAAGGUUCAUUUGGAUUGCUUCAAGCCAAGUCCAUGGAUAGGCGCCUAAUUGGGAACUUUGAAAUUCCAGCCGGAUCAUUUAGCAUGUUUACAAUCGGUACUAUAGUCAUCUGGAUUCUACUCUAUGAUCGCGUAUUGUUACCUCUGGCAUCAAAGAUUAGAGGAAAACGAGUACAACUUGGUGUAAAAGAAAGAAUGGGAAUGGGUUUAUUUUGUUCAUUCAUGGCUAUGGUUGUCUCAGCCAUCGUGGAACAUAUAAGACGAACCAAAGCAAUCGAACAAGGUUUUAGAGAAAAUCCCAG